CGGACCUCAGAUCAGGCAAGANCACCCGCUGAGUUUAAGCAUAUCACUAAG
rnacentral:rRNA from 1 species